UACGUAGGCAGCGAGCGUUGUUCGGAGUUACUGGGCGUAAAGCGUGCGUAGGCGGUGGCCCAAGUCUGGUGUGAAAUCUCCCGGCUUAACCGGGAGGGUGCGCCGGAAACUGGGUCGCUCGAGUGCCGGAGAGGCAGGCGGAAUUCCUGGUGUAGCGGUGAAAUGCGUAGAUAUCUGGAGGAAUACCGGUGGCGAAGGCGGCAUCCUGGACCGACAUUGACGCUGAGGAGCGAAAGCUAGGGGAGCAAACGGG
rnacentral:rRNA from 1 species